AUCGAACGCUGGCGGCGGGCCUAACACAUGCAAGUCGAGCGGAGCGGCGGACGGGUGAGUAAUGUAUAGGAAUCUGCCUGGUAGUGGGGGAUAACGUCCGGAAACGGGCGCUAAUACCGCAUACUAUCAGAUGAGCCGAGGUCGGAUUAGCUAGUUGGUGGGGUAAAGGCCUACCAAGGCGACGAUCCGUAACUGGUCUGAGAGGAGGAUCAGUCACACUGGAACUGAGACACGGUCCAGACUCCUACGGGAGACAGCAGUGGGGAAUAUUGGACAAUUGGCGAAAGCCUGAUCCAGCCAUGCCGCGUGUGUGAAGAAGGUCUUCGGAGUGUAAAGCACUUUAAGGUGGGAGGCGUUACCAGCAGAAUAAGCACCGGCUAACUUCGUGCCAGCAGCCGCGGUAAUAC
rnacentral:rRNA from 1 species